AAAAAGGAAAUAGUUAGACUUAGGGUUUUUAUUCAGGAAAUUUGGGAUGAUAAUCCUACAGAUGCCUAAUGAUUUGCAUGCAUGAUAAUGUAAAGCUCAACUACUUGAUUAACAAGUCAAUCAGCUCUCGCAUGUAUUGACUUGUCUAUUAACUAGAUCUAUUAAUCUCAACUGUUGUAUUUUGAUCAAUAGAAAGUGUCGAUCGAUAAUCCUAUAGGGAUAUCGAUCGAUACCCUUUUUGCUCCGUCGAUCGAUUAUUCAAUUGUGAUAUC
rnacentral:lncRNA from 1 species